rnacentral:piRNA from 1 species
GACAGAUGGAACAACAUGUGCAAAGUC